UCUGUGGAAAGUUGCAAAGACUGCACAGGGGGCCUUCUCCAGAUGACAUGUGAAGCAACAGCCGUAGGAAACUCUAAAUCCACCUGAAAUUUGAGUUUCUGCUGAGGGUUAAUAUUUUAAAUGGAACCCAUGAGCCCACUAUAAAGCGAAGCCCAGCUCAGUGGUGAAGGAGCGUCUACAGGAGUCAUGAGGCACAGCAUUUUCUAGUUCCUGACUAAAAACAGAAAUGAAACCUUUUCUCUGCAGAUUUUGUCAAGGUGUUCUGCAGGCAGUUGCACUUUCGACCCUCCUCAUUUGCCCAUUAGCAAAUGGAAAAAUUAUAAUAAUGUGAACUAUUUUUGUUUUGUUUUUUAAAUGUUGAAUGAUGUGGCAGUGUAGCUAAAAUCCUGCAUUUGGAGGCCAGAACUGUAAGCCAUUUUUGAAAGGAAGACAGUUCUCGACAAUAAGCAUCUUGAUCUUGAAACCCUUGAGGAGCAGGGACAGAGCAGAGAGUACAGGUGAGAGCGAGAACAAGAGCAGCAAAAGAAAAUGAGCAAACCAUACUGGAAAAGCAACCCUUGGCCAGCCCCACUGGCUCUGAGCCACGUGCUAGGUGGGGUCAGGGGAGAAGCUCUGGGCCCUGCCAACUGUGUUCUGGCCUCAGCCCCAAGCUGUCCCUGAGGGCUGCACCCCAGAAUCCGAGGAUGUGAGGAGUAUGGUUCUGAGCCCUGCUCUGGUGAGGAAGGGACUGGCAGACUCUCAGAUCAUGCCGAGGCUGCUCUCAUUUGCUGUUUCAUGCAUGUGUGUUUUGUGUGCAUGUUGAAAGGAGCAAACUGCGUGUCGCCUAUGAAACAUGGGUUUGGUUCUUCAGAAGAAAUCCUUUUGGAGUUCUCACAAAGCUCCAAGUUAUCCAGGAAGCCCCAAGGACCAAACACGCAUUGUGGUUGGGACUGUGAUGCCCAGAUGGGCCAGUCCUGGAAAUGGAGCUCAUGGAAGGUGGCGUCGCGAUGGCCGGUAGAGCAGGAAGGAUGCGGGGCAGGGCCCCCUUGAAUCAGCCUGGCUGGGAGAGGUGGGUAGGAUUCAGUGAGGGUAUCUCAGACUGCACUGAAAUUAACAUUUUAUUUACACACAUUCACACAUAUACAAUACACCAAGAGACAUAAGAAGGAAAAAACUAUGAUAAGUUGCUGCUUAUGUGAGUUUCCACAUGGAUACAAAACACUCUUGUAUGCAAAGUUAACAAGGUCUGGGCUCCUUCCCAGCACACCUCUGCCCCCGUCCCCCGGGCUUCACCUCACGGCAAUGCGCUGGGCAGGGUGAGUCCCAUAUCGCUCUCAACAGCUGAAGGGGAGCUGCUUGUCUUGGCAGGACCUUGAGAGUUAAUGACACAUGUAAUGGUGUGUGGGGAAAGUGAGAGACGAUGGAGGAUUGUGUGGUACAAAAAAGCAAAAAUAUGUGUUAUAGAAAUAGAGUAUUUGCAUCAAACUGAAAUCCUCCCUAUCCUGAGAAUUUCAGGAAGAGGACAAAAUCACAGGGUCACAUCCUGAAGGACACCCUGCCCGGCUCUGACUUUACCCCUCUCAGUGCCCUGGGGUGGGGGUAUCGAUCUAGAAAGCCACCUAUCGCAGGGUGUGUGUAUGUGUGUGUGUGUAUUCAUUAGUGCUUGCGGUCACUGUGAAGACACCAACUGUUCUGAACAAGACUUUCCAAUAAUGCAGGGCGAGAUUGCCUGAAACAAACUAGAAAAACAACAUAAAAGAAGAAAAGGGAAAGCAUGCCCAGGAGAGCCUCAAAUAUCUUUUGUCCAUAUUGCUGUUUUCGAAAAUCCGGGGUGAAUAAAAAGCUGGCACUCUCCGGGUUUUGCCUGGUCCUGGAAUUCUUUUGUAGUGAGCACCACCUUGUGGUCUGCCUUUUGCAUUUCCCAAGAACACAAUGUCAGGGUCCCCGUGCUUGCUGAAACCUGGUUAUCACACUCGGGCUGGCCUCUCCUCCCAAGCCCAUCCUGCCUUCUUCCCACCCUACCAGACCCUUCCCACUCGAGGGCUCAGACCCAUCUCAGGCUUGCCCCAGUAGGCUCGUCCCACUUUCUGGAAUUAAGACUGAACAUUAAGUUGCUAGCCUGAGCCCAAGGCCCAGGUGUCCCAUUACAGCUGAUGUGCCACCCACACGGUCUGUCUGGGGCCACCCCCGGGGGACCAUUGCCCUACACAGCGCCCACACACACAGUCCCUCCACAUGCCCAUUUUGCUCAAAAUCUCUCUCUCCUCACUCCUACACCCCCCUUCAGCAACUUGCUGGGAUUUUUUCGGCGUAACGUAGUGGGUCUGGGCAAUCCCCAGAACAGGAACCCUCCCAGCAGCCCACCACCCCUAGUCUAUAAUCACAGUCGACUUCAACCACAAACACCUGGAGCACGGAAAGCGCUGCCCCACCCACCAGGAAACUCCGCAUCCCUCCACAUGAGGACCCAUCCUGCACCCGGGAGCAGUGGAGGCAUCUCAGCCAAGGCAACUGCAGAUGCUGGCAUAGCUCCACAUUGGACAAACAAAGGUGCCUCGUGAAGUGCCAUGAUAAGCCCUGCCAAGGUCUGAAGCAAACAGGUACAGCCGGGGUGUCAUCCCAGAAUAAACCACAGUCAGAGACAAGAUGGGGAGAUGGAGGAAGGAACCGGAACAAAGUGGCUCCAUGCACCGGGUAUAGGCAGGCACCUGGGCUCAUGGUGUUUAAUUCAUUCUCAUAAUAACUCUUUGGGAACUAUUAUUUUUCCCAUUGUACAGAUGAGGAUACCAAGGCUCACAGAGGUUGAAAAUGUGCUUGUUUAUCUUGAAUUUCCCUAACAUGAUCAGCUUGCUGUAGAUAUUCAAGUUCUACUAGCUUCUAACUCCUUCCAUGUAAAGCAGCAGCGAAGCUGCCCUGCCAAGGCCCACAGUUAGAUUUGUGCAUCUCUGAGCAUCUUUUCUUGAGCUCUCUUUGUUACCACCUGCUGGUCACAGAGCUGAGGAGGGCUGCACCCCCUUCCACCAUGGCUGCAGAUGCCCUCUGGGAGAACACUCGGGGCAGACUCCUGAGGACCCCAUGGUGUUGAGCACCUGUCCUUGCUGUGGCCAGGCUGCGCUCCGUACCAAGGUAGGCAAAACGCCCUGUCACCCACUGGGCAUCAUACCUGGGAACCUGGGCACACCCAAAAACUGCUGCAUCAUGCUCUGCCCAAAGCCCUGUCACCACAGGGCUCAGGCUAUGGGGCCACUUUGAGGCAGGCACAGCUUUCCUCUGUACCCCAGUGUGAAUCUUUGAUUGCUGUAACUAAUUGCCAUAAACGUUGUGGAUUAAAACAGCCUAAGUUUGUGAUCUGUUCUGCAGGUCGGUAGUUCAGUACAGAUCUCUUUGGACUAAAAUCUAAGUAUUGGCAAGUUGCAUCCAUUCCUGGAGCUCUGGGGAAGGCCCGUCCCUGCUCUGCUAGGUUGCUGGCUGAACUUAGUUCCCUGGGUUCCCUGGGAUUACAGACGUGCACCACCAUGUCCCACUAAUUUUUGUACUUUUAGUAGAGACCUGGUUUCACCUUGUUGGUGAGGCUGGUCUCAAGCUCCUGGCCUCAUGUGACCCACCCACCUCAGCCUCCCAAAGUGUUGGGAUUACAGGCAUGAGUCACCACGCCUGGCCUCCAAUGGACUAGUUUUGAAGGAAUCUCAGGAUUUGCAACCUGCUGGAAGGAAUUACUGGUGUCAUUAGAGGCCUCCCUGAAACCCCACGCAAUGACAGCAUGGCACACGCUGACCCCGGCUGAGCUCACAAUGGCAGUUGUUUUGGCUUGGCUUCUGUUUAGAUGGGAAGCAGCUCCCCAUGUCCCUUGGCUGAAGGUUUCUCCUAGAAGUUGACCAGGACCCCUGCAGGGGAUGAACAAAAGCUGACACCUCAUCACCCCAAUUCACACACAGUUAAGCCCCACUGAUCCUGGGAUACAAGUAGAUAAAGGGGGGAAAGGACUACUUUGUUUAACUUCCCAGUAUCCUCUGAUUGACUUAAUGAAAAAAUCCUGAUGUUAAGCUCCCAGAAAAGGGUUUUCAGUGCUGAACUUGAGCUGGGCAUACCACCUACAUCCUGUGUUCUGUGUUCACAAACACAGAACACAUUCGUGUCUCAUCUGUGCCUCAUUUGUCUUUCCCUGCCCUUACUUCCACGUGAGAGCAGCCACUUGUGAUCCUGUCCAUUUAAAACAAUAUGAUCACAGGCCUGGGGCUCCAGAUGCCGGACACAGAAAAGAAAAAGACGUGAUAAAUAACAUUUAAAGCACUGCAAAGUUUGAUUUUCAUGUCUAAUAUCUGCCCCUGGAGAUUCUGCUAAAUUUCUUUUUUCCCUCUUCAUAAAUUCUUAUGAUAACAACUUUAUUUGGGAAUUAAUCCAGAUUCCCAUUAUUCACUGAAUUACACUUUCCCAGCAUGUAAGUUCCUCCCUCGUUGUAAGUUACAAAGCCUUGGAAGCUACAUUAACUCUUUCUGGCUGCUGGGAUGACAGGUAUUGCUAGUCCUCAUGUUUCAGAAUUGUAUCUGAAAAGCAUUAAUGUAGUUUUAAAGGGUUUCCAAAUUAAAACCAGGAUGAAAAUUGACCACUGGGAGAAUCCUAUUUAUACUAUUAUAUUAUGGGGUGCUUUAAAUACACUUCCCUCCAGCCUACUGCCAUUGGCUCUAAUAUAUAGAACGGGCAUGUAUACAGAACGGGCAUCCCUCUUGCAGUAGCAUUGUGGAAGAAUUAAGCACCCACACUCUGAGGUCAAACUGUCCUGGUUGAAAUCUUGACUCCAUCUCUCACUAGCUGUGUGACCUCAGGUAAGUUACCUAACCCCUCUGAGCCUUGGUUUCCUCAUUUGUAAAGUGGAGAAAACAGCACUCACUUGAUGGGGCUGCCAUAAGGAUGAAGUAAUAUGGUGCAAGAGGAGCUGAGACUGCUGCUUGGCAAACAGUGGACAUUUGCUGAGAGCUUGCUGUGCACCAGGCACUGUUCUAACUACUUUACAUGUAUUAAUUCAUUGAACUCGCUCAACAACUUGGAGGUUGGACAUCAUUAUCCCUACUGCAGGCAGUGACCACUCUACAAAUGUUGGUUGCCAUCCGCUGAUCUUGACGCCUACGACGGAUUCGCCUGGUAACUCCAUCCACACUUAAGUUGGGAAAGCACUCCGCCCUGCCUCUAAGUCCGGGGACUCUGGGCAGGGUCCAUUACAUGACCUGGGUCUAAGCCAAUCAGAGCAUCUCACUACCGUCUCCACAGUGAUUGGUCCACGUGGGCACAUGACACUGCCGGGGCUGGGACUCCCCAAAAAGAGAGUCUCCCUUCUUCCUGCUGGACUAGCCUGAGACGAUGCGAGGCUAUCGCUGCCGCAGUACCGGGCGGAGGGCCUGUCUGAGAGGGAGCCAACCUCGAGGAAACUGGGUCAACAAUGGACAACGAGACACCAGCUGUGUGACUUCACGUGAGCCCACGCAGGAAGCCUGCCUGCAGCCGGGACCCUAUCUUGGCCCAUAGCAUCGGGGCUUCUCAGGGAAGCACUGGGGUGUAAGCUUCAGCCCCAAAAUGCAUCCCCACCCUUGUCCCCCUCCAGGCAGAGCAGAGACCACUGGGGCCUGCUUGCUGCUCGGUGGAGCCGAUGUCUUCAAGGCCGGGCUAAUGUCUCACCGGCCUCUCGGUUCCUUCCAGCUCCACUGACAGAAAGAAAGCAGAUUAGAUUACCGGGCGAGGUAAUCCUAAGCUUUAGAGGUUCUUUUGAGGAACCUGCCACAAAGGCCAACCAGAAUCCUUAUUACACAAACCAGCAACUGACCUCCCUUUAGGAGAACAGGGCUCUAUGAUAGGAGCAAUUACAUUUAAAUUCUGCAGUGAGAUUGCUAUUUAACAAAACAGCAAAAUCAUCAAAAUCCUAUAAUUGUAUGCAUAAUGCCACUUUGGCCUACUCACUUUCUGUAAAGAACUUUAUUUUCCCAUCCCAUAAUUAAUAUCAGUAUCAUAUUCCAUUGAAGACCAUCUGUUUUACCAGAGCUAUGUUAUCAAUCAUCUCAAAUUUCAGAACUUCACCCUGGUUUGUCCCCUUGAUAGGGAAGUGAAAACAUUGUAUCAACAGUCAUCUAAGCUGGCAUGUGUGUGAGUGGGCCACAGGAUUUGCUGGUGGAUAUCAGAAAAGUCAUUUAACACAAAGUUCUGCUUAUAGACUAUUGCAAAAUAAGUAGCUCCAAAAGGAAAUUAUUAUGUUUGUAAAAACAUGAGCACUUUCCUCUUCCUUUGGGCAAGGGUACGACGUUUUACUAUCCACCCAAAUUAUGUUCACCAAUGAUUGAACUCUUCAAAGAAUUCAAAUCAUGUGGAUUUGAGCCUUCUGGGAAGGAAAACGAAAUGCACCUUGACUUCACAGGCUGGAGGGCUGGGUGUGACAGGGCCCUCCAGAGAGCCUCGGGACAGAACCUCAGCAGAUGGUGGCAGCUGAAGACACAGGAAUCUCAUCAAAUAACCAGGAAAGAUUAACUACUGGAGAAGAGAAAAGACUGGGAAUCAUCACCAUGCCAGACAGACUUUUCACCUAUUCGUCUGAGGACAGCUCCAAGAGAUGACCUGGGAGACUUUACCUGCAUAAGAAGACAACCUUUGUUCACAGCGUAGUUCUGCCCCUCACCCUCCUGCCACCUGCCCCAGAACUCAGAGGAACUUUGUCCCAGGCUAUUAUCUAUUCUUUGGGCUCACUCAUUUUCCUUAGAAAUCAUUUACUACCCCUCUAAAAUUUCCUACAGUCCCCCACUUCCCUGUCUCCUAUGAAGAGGAUAUAUAAGCCUCAACCAUCUGGCCCUUCUUUGAGUCUCCUAUUUGUAGGACUCCCAUGGCCAUAUGCACCUUAAUAAAUGUGUAAGCCAU
rnacentral:lncRNA from 1 species